GUUUGAUUAGCUCACGAAGGAAACGUUCGUGAGAGCGCCUGCCUUGCACGCAGGAGGUCAUCGGUUCGAGCCCGUUAUCCUCCA
rnacentral:tRNA from 5 species